GUAUAGAGGGUGAAUUCUGCCCAAUGGUUGUAUAGUGAAACUGAGGACUAACGUCUAAAGCGAAACCCAACUGAAUGGCCGCGGUAACUCUGACCGUGAUAAUGUAGCACAAUAAAUAGCCAAUUAAUUGUUGGCGGGUAUGAAUGGAACCACGAGGGUCUUACUGUCUCAAGGGGGAAGCCGAUGAAAUUAUAGUUGUAGUGAAGAUACUACAUAAACAUUGUAAGACGAAAAGACCCUAUCGAGCUUUACUGGAUACCGAUAGCGUUAACUUAAAAUGGUCGAUACUAAGUAUCCUAAUUUUGAGUUAAUAAUUUUUGUUGGUAGGACAGUUUAGUUGGGGCGACUACCUUUGAAUAAGAAACGAAGGCGAGCUUAUGGUAUACAAAGCUAAUCUCACUAGCCUGACAGUGAGGGGGACACCCCUAGCUGGCACAAGGACUAUGUUUCUAUGUGGGCGAUAAUGACCCGAUAUGAUUGUCCAAAAUAAAUAUCGAAAGCGGAUAAAAGCUACCGUAGGGAUAACAGCGUAAUAUUGUCGGAGAGUUCUUAUCGAGGACAGUGUUUGCGACCUCGAUGUUGAAUUGCGGUGCCCUGGUGCUGUAGAAGGUACCUUAGGUUGGUC
rnacentral:rRNA from 1 species